rnacentral:tmRNA from 1 species
GGGGAUGCCAGGCAUCGACGGGAGAACAUUUCACGGCCCGCAAGCCGAGCACGACCACUGUCUCGUUAAACCAAGGUCAAAGAAUAAGUGUCAACUUGUUCAACCGGGUGAAGAACGCCAUGGCUAACGCCUUCGCGCCUUCAUUCGCUCCGACUUUCGCCUAAACGCCAAAGUCCAUCCGCUCCGCCGACGUCCGAUAGGCGGAAUCCGGGUGUCAUUUUUCGGACAGAGCUACGGCGGUUCUCCGACGCCGCAGCCGACCAUGAACGGGGAUAGGGAAGCCGUAUUUUGGCCGUUUUUACCGGCUGACCGAAAAUUCCUAAACGUGCCUAAGCUUGUAUCCGUGCCGCGCCUUGUCUCACCGGACGGGAGUUCAAUUCUCCCCAUCUCCACCA